UACGGGGGGGGGCAAGCGUUGUUCGGAAUUACUGGGCGUAAAGGGCUCGUAGGCGGCCAACUAAGUCAGACGUGAAAUCCCUCGGCUUAACCGGGGAACUGCGUCUGAUACUGGAUGGCUUGAGGUUGGGAGAGGGAUGCGGAAUUCCAGGUGUAGCGGUGAAAUGCGUAGACAUCUGGAGGAACACCGGUGGCGAAGGCGGCAUCCUGGACCAAUUCUGACGCUGAGGAGCGAAAGCCAGGGGAGCAAACGGG
rnacentral:rRNA from 1 species